UGAUCCAUGGCUGUUGAGAGGAAUGACGUCCGGUCUGAAGAUCGCCGUCCCCAGGCGGUGGCUUCGGACCAGGCUUCAUUCCCCAUGACUCAUGGAACCC
rnacentral:ncRNA from 3 species